rnacentral:rRNA from 1 species
AUUGAACGCUGGCGGCAUGCCUUACACAUGCAAGUCGAACGGUAACAGGUCUUCGGAUGCUGACGAGUGGCGAACGGGUGAGUAAUACAUCGGAACGUGCCCGAUCGUGGGGGAUAACGAAGCGAAAGCUUUGCUAAUACCGCAUACGAUCUACGGAUGAAAGCAGGGGACCGCAAGGCCUUGCGCGAACGGAGCGGCCGAUGGCAGAUUAGGUAGUUGGUGGGAUAAAAGCUUACCAAGCCGACGAUCUGUAGCUGGUCUGAGAGGACGAGCAGCCACACUGGGACUGAGACACGGCCCAGACUCCUACGGGAGGCAGCAGUGGGGAAUUUUGGACAAUGGGCGAAAGCCUGAUCCAGCCAUGCCGCGUGCAGGAUGAAGGCCUUCGGGUCGUAAACUGCUUUUGUACGGAACGAAAAGACUCUGGUUAAUACCUGGGGUCCAUGACGGUACCGUAAGAAUAAGCACCGGCUAACUACGUGCCAGCAGCCGCCGUAA